UACGAAGGGGGCUAGCGAUGAUCGGGAUCACUGGGCGUAAAGCGCACGUAGGCGGCUUCUUAAGUCAGGGGUGAAAUCCUGGGGCUCAACCCCAGAACUGCCCUUGAUACUGAGGAGCUUGAGUCCGGGAGAGGUGAGUGGAACUACGAGUGUAGAGGUGAAAUUCGUAGAUAUUCGGAAGAACACCAGUGGCGAAGGCGGCUCACUGGACCGGUACCGACGCUGAGGUGCGAAAGCUUGGGGAGCAAACAGG
rnacentral:rRNA from 1 species